AACCUGUACUGAAGAGGGACCGGAAAUGGAUCUGAAAACAUUUUACCAAUUAAAAGUUUUGUGGUAUUUGUCUGUAGUGCAUUUUUAGACAUACUUAUGUGCAAAAUAUUCUAGAAUCAUUGUUACAUUAUGGAAUUGAAAAGACUGAUGAUGUGAAAAGCAAUAUUUCACUGAUUAUAUAACAAUGGUGAUAACUAUACAGAAAUAUUGGAAGUACACUUGCAUUGUUAUACAGGCAGAUCCUGAUUUAUAUAAAUGAAUUUAUCAGUAAAAUCCUGUUUAAAUUGAAUCUAUUUAUGCUAAACAUAUGUUAUACAUUAUUAGUGGGUCACAAAAACAUAACAUUAAAAACAAUUUCUUUAAAGAAUAAACAUAUAAGUCGUGUUAAAACAGUCCCUUAUCUUGAAGGAUAUGGAUUCAAUUUUGAAUCUCACACUUCCAGUUUUAUCAGGAGGGACUGGAUUUGGGUCUGGCUUGUUAAUCAAAAAUUAAACUUACAUAAGUGUGGAUCUAUUUAAGUUGGGGAUUGUCAGCA
rnacentral:lncRNA from 1 species